rnacentral:rRNA from 1 species
GGGGAAUAUUGCACAAUGGGCGCAAGCCUGAUGCAGCCAUGCCGCGUGUGUGAAGAAGGCCUUCGGGUUGUAAAGCACUUUCAGCGGGGAGGAAGGCGGUGAGGUUAAUAACCUCAUCGAUUGACGUUACCCGCAGAAGAAGCACCGGCUAACUCC